GACAGAGGGUGCAAACGUUGUUCGGAAUUACUGGGCGUAAAGCGCGUGUAGGCGGCUCGAUAAGUCGGAUGUGAAAGCCCUGGGCUCAACCUAGGAAGUGCAUUCGAAACUGCUGAGCUUGAGUUCUGGAGAGGAAGGCGGAAUUCUCGGUGUAGAGGUGAAAUUCGUAGAUAUUCGCAAGAACACCAGUGGCGAAGGCGGCUGACUGGUCCGGUUCUGACGCUGAGGCGCGAAAGCGUGGGGAGCAAACAGG
rnacentral:rRNA from 1 species